GAAUCUCUCGACAAGUUAGAGGUCUGACUUACCUUCUGAGUUGCAUGUGUGUUGUUGGGGGGGCUCCGUUUGUCGUUCCGAUUCUCAGUUCCUUCGUGCAAAGCGGAUAUACUAGUCUUUUCCUUCAUAUAUGGCACAAGAUUGUAGGAAACGUAAAAAUCCUUCUGGGACGAUAAUAGCACAAUGCAAUAAUUGAGGGAAUCCCCUUCCGCCAGUGAAACGCAAUCGCUGGUACCGAACAAACAGUCUCAAUUCAGACGACAGUCGUCAAAAAGCCAAGCGAGGAGAAUAAUCUUUCACGUCUUUCUUUGAGUGUCAAUAAAGUUUCAAAGACAUUUCUUGUAAAUUGUCGCAGCUAAACUAAGCAAUCAAGAGAUGAGGUCAUCCGCAAACGUCGCAACUCUUCUUAUUUUCCUGAUUGGUGUAAAUCAGGUGUUGGCUGGACCCUUAGCCUACGGUAUUUGUCAGACAGGGUGCAAUGCAGUGGCUGUAGCCUGUUAUGCCGGAGCAGGUGCAACGUUUGGUACAGUGACGGCCGGUGCAGGGAUCCCCGCUGCCAUCGUCGCCUGUAAUGCAGCACUGGGAGUUUGUAUGGCAGCAUGUAUCGCUGCCGGCUUUGCGCCCACACCUUGAAUUCAUACGGCGAAUACUAAAUAAAUAAAUGAAUUUAUGUAACAAAUUGUAUUUCAUUCGUGGCUCAUUGCAGCUUUUUAUUGCUUGAGAGAGAUUUUUGUAUGUGUUAGAGAAACAAAUAAAAUCACACAUGUAUGUAA